UACGGAGGGGGCUAGCGUUGUUCGGAAUUACUGGGCGUAAAGCGCACGUAGGCGGCUUUGUAAGUUAGAGGUGAAAGCCCGGGGCUCAACUCCGGAAUUGCCUUUAAGACUGCAUCGCUAGAACGUCGGAGAGGUAAGUGGAAUUCCGAGUGUAGAGGUGAAAUUCGUAGAUAUUCGGAAGAACACCAGUGGCGAAGGCGACUUACUGGACGACUGUUGACGCUGAGGUGCGAAAGCGUGGGGAUCAAACAGG
rnacentral:rRNA from 1 species